rnacentral:tRNA from 1 species
GCCCGUGUAGCUCAGUGGUUAGAGCGUCUGUCUCGUAAACAGAAGGUCCUAGGUUCGAAUCCUGGUUCGGGCA